rnacentral:rRNA from 1 species
UACGUAGGGUGCAAGCGUUGUCCGGAAUUAUUGGGCGUAAAGAGCUCGUAGGCGGUCUGUCGCGUCUGCUGUGAAAACUCAGGGCUUAACCCUGAGCUUGCAGUGGGUACGGGCAGACUAGAGUGCGGUAGGGGAGACUGGAAUUCCUGGUGUAGCGGUGAAAUGCGCAGAUAUCAGGAGGAACACCGGUGGCGAAGGCGGGUCUCUGGGCCGUAACUGACGCUGAGGAGCGGAAAGCAUGGGGGAGCGAACAGG